rnacentral:lncRNA from 1 species
CAGGGAUGGAGGACCAGGCAGGGAGGGGGGCCGGAGAAGCGAAAGAGAUAGAUCAAAAAGAGGAAAGAAGAGGGACUGGGAAGCUAGGGCGACUGAGGAUACGCCGAGGUCUAGUCCGGCUUGGCAGCGCGAACUAGAGAGCUUUGCGAGCCGCGGGGCUGGGAAGUCAGGGCAUAAGGGCCAGGCCUGCCCUCUGGUGCUUUCGGCUCCUCGGGCCCCCGACUUUAAAGUGCUCAAGUUGGGGUCGGCGCCAUCAUGACGCCUGAGACUGGGGCCCCGCGGCAGAGCGCACUGAAGCAAGGAUCUCUGCAGGGGUCAGCAUCCGGCUUCCUCCCCAGACUGAGCUCUUGAUGAGGCAGGCAGGAGUCAUAGAUGUUGGUGGUACCCAAGGUGGCUUUUUAUUUUUUAUUUUUAUUUAUCACGUUGUCUAAGGAUAGAUGGGGUAGGGCCAGCAAUUCACAUCACCCGGGACCACCCAGACUGACUAUCCAGGAGCCUCUAAGCAACAUCACCACCCUGCAGAAGAUUCCCUGCGAGGCUCAGCAAUUAACGGAGAGGUUUGCAGCAGGAGCUACUGAUGUGAUUAGUAUUCAGGCUUAAUUCUCAGAACCCGCUCGGGAAUUGAAAGUGCGGUAGUAUUCAGCCGCAUUUCGAAACAUCAAUAAAAUGUUAGUCAUUUGCGGAUGAAUGAAAGAGUACUACCCCACCAUUCCUGUGCAGUGCAUGAUCUUCAUGCAUUCAUUGCUGAGGGAACUUCAAUUGCAGGUGUAUUGAAAAACAUGGGAAGAAAAAGUUACAAGUAAUAGAAGAACUAACUCAUUCAGGAGCCCGAAGAAAGGAACAGAACUUCUAGUGUGAGAUGCUGAGACCGCCUCACUGUGAAAGGUGUUCCCUGUCCAUUCUGAUAAGAGGGGGACUGCACAGCUUGGAUUGAUUCAUGUCUCUUGCUUGGAUCCUGCAACAUCUGACUACAGUGCAGGAAAUAAGUAAGGACAAUGUCAGAAAGCAAAGAGCAGGAAAUUACACGGGGUGAGAGUUAUACAUGGCCUAAUUCUCUAAGUCCUGCUUGUUCUGCCAGUGGGUUAGUGUGUUUCAAUAUCUUAUAUUAAGAGCAGGCAUUAUUUUUAAUAGUACAUCUCAUUUUCUCUCUAGAGAAAGCAGGAGAUAUAAUGCAUUCUGCAAGACUACAGCAGUGGCUUUCCAGGCACAGCCUAGUGGGCUGGGUAAUGUACUACCUCAAAACCAGAGCAAGGUCUACCCCAGAGCCUUGAUAAUGGCUCCACAGGAUCAGAACACUAUGCUCUCACACAAAACCCUUUUAAAACAAUACAUAUUUUAUGCCCCUUUAUCUAUAACUGAGGCUUUCCAAGGCAGAAUAAAUCCUGACGACUUUGUUAAUUAUAUAUUGAGGAUAUUGCAGAACUCAAGUGUAGGAAUAAAGCCAAGCCUCAACCAGAGACACUCAAUUGGAAUAUGGUACAUGGUCAGCAGCUACUCUCUGCUUUCUCUUCUGGUAUUGAUUUUGUCAAAUAACUUUCUCCACUUCUCCUGAGGUAUGGUGAUCUAAAGGUAUAUAAAUUUUUCUUUUGUAUUUUGCAAUUAAUAAAACUUUCAAAGCCACCCAUUAAAAUCCAGAUACUAAUUCUAAAUAAUCAGAGAGGAUAAACAACACUCUAGUUUACACUAAUGUUCAUUUGAUCAUCACUGUGAAAACAGGUAAGAUUAAAAACAUAUGGGGGCUGAUAGCUUAGGGCAGUGGGAUUUUUCUCAUGUUGUAACAUGCUCUCAGACUUUAACAAAACUGACUCCUUGACAGAAGUACCAUUCAUUCUAUAAAACCCAGCACAUAUAUAACACCACCUGCCAAACUUAAAACAAAGAUCUAAUCUGUCAAAGUCCAUAGUUCUGAGAAAGUUUCUACAUUUACUAACUUUGCAUUUGGCUUCUGUAUUUUCACUUUCAGCUAACAGUUCUUGUAAAUGGACGUAUGUCAACUCACGAUAUAAAUUUUGUGUUUAAAACCUCACCCUGAGAAAGACUCACAGCUCCACUGGGAUCCUGAACAUGCAGAGUAUUUUCUACCCUCCAGCCUGCUAUGGCCUUCUCUUGGCUCUUCUUCUCUUAAACUUGUAGCCUUCUCUGGUAGACAUCUCACAACAAUGAAAGGGGAAUCACUCAGGAUGAAACUUGUCUAUACUUUAUGUCUAUACAUUGUGCUUUACAUAUUAUAAUUUCAAGGAGAUUACUAACUACUCAUGUGUUCAGAUUUAAAGUCAUUUUAAAACUUCUAUUCUACAUUUCAAUAUCUAUACUAUCCCCUCUCUAUAAUUUUGCUUCAAUUUGCAAAAGUGGGGUGUAUUUCUAUAAGUAAAAGUGGGCAGAACAUUUGCCUACAGGAAUGUACCUUGUAUCAACACUUGUGUUGUCUCUGUACAUGGGGCUAAGGAGCCAACAGUAUUGCCAUUCAUUUAAAGAUGGUUCCACCCUGUUUUGAUGUAGUGAGCACAUGAUCCCAUGCUGUGAGCUGUGAAGUGGUAGGUAGCAGAGAUGCUAAGUGGGAUUGGUAGCAGGACCUCCCUGUUAGAACCAAGCAAUGGUACUUGCAUUCUGCUCUCAGCUUGCUGACUAGCAUUUGCAGUGAUGCCUUACAAAGACUGCUGACCUCAGCUUGAUUCAGUAAGUUGGAUUCUAAUCUGUCUAUUUCCACUACAGUGUUUAUACAUGAUUUCACAUACUACGGUUGGACAAGAAGGAACUACUAGGUAUAUAUUUUUUGAAAAAAAAUUCCUUGAAAUAUUUUUCCCAAAUCAAUAUUAUUUUAUUCUAUGCAAUUAAUCUAAGACAUUUUAAGUCAAAAUACUGUUUCCAAAAAGUAAAUUACAUUUUCUAUUAAAACCUAAAUGGCUAGGCACUGGAUAUGACUCACUGGUGAAGAGCACUGGCUGACCUCCCGGAAGAUCCAGGUUCAAUUCCCAGCACCCAGAUGGCAGCUCAGUCUGUAAUUCCAGUUCUAAGGGAAUUGGCAUCCUCACACAGGCCUAAAUGCAGCAGAAAUACCAAUGCACAUAAAAAUAAAUGAAUCUUAAAAAAUUACUUAAGUAAAACCCAAAAUGGCAUGUUUUCAGUGCUACAUCUAUCACAACGGCAAGACUAACUUUAGGAGCAAAUGCUCUUGCUUUUUCCAUUAUAGUUCAAUCAUAAACCAUGUAUAUAUGUUAUAUAUAUUUAUAAUUUACAGUUGUACAUGAAAGUUUAAUUUAUAUCAUAAAUGGAUGCUAGAUUUCUUAUUUUUUCUUUUUGGGUAUAUAUAUAUAUAAAAGUUUAAUGUAGAUCAUAAGUAGAUAUGUGGUAUAUUUCUUACUUAUUUUCAGUAAUAAGGUAGAAUAAUUAUCUAAAUAUAGACACAGUUUUACUAUGAAGUUGUAGAAGUAACACUUUGUAACACACUUUAGAUUGUAGGAUAAAAUUGUAAUUUUUCCUUAUCAGUCACACUAAUAGUCUUUGAAACAGUUUUUCCAGCUGUUAAAUGACAAAUAUGUUUUGCAAGAAUGAAAAGUUUUAGCACACACCUGACAAUAAAUGAACAUGCUGAAUGUUUUACACACGGACAGGACAGCAUGAGCCGGAAUCAACUGUAUCAUUGGAAUAUGUAUUUUAGCAACUGACUCUCCUAUGAAAGCAACAGUAAAUUAACAGAGGGUCAAACAACUCAAGAUUCUGUCAGUAAUUAGUUGUUGUGAUGUAUUCAUUGACUUGACUAUCCUGAAGGUUACCCUGACAGCUGGAUUCUGAGUGAGUUCUUCAGGUUGCUUGAGGAAAGGCUAACAUCUGAGUCAGUGAGCACUAUGGCUGACUCUUGGAUAUCAUCUGUAACCCUAUUCCCUUGACAAUGAAUAACACUGAAUUCAAUUAAAAUCUGACCCAAACAAGAAGGAGCCUGAAGCUACAGUCUGUCUACAUGAAAAACAAAUUGGGAACUCAGUAGGAAAAGACACUUGCCUCCUAACCUGACCACCAGGGUUCUAUUCCCUAGACCAGCAUGGUUGAAGAGAAGACAAACUCCCAUAAGGUCUCCUCUGGCUUCAACACUGUCCUCAGGGUCUGCAUCUGGCCACACAUACACAUGUUACCUAAUUCAAUCUUUCAUUAAUAAAGUUCCAAUAAAAGAAGUGAGCA